AAGCCUUGAGGUGUUUUACAUAUCAGAUUGCAAAUCUGAAGAAGUAGGCUAAUUACCUACCGGGGCUUUCC
rnacentral:tRNA from 1 species